ACCCUCGGGAGGGAUGUUUGGCCCCGCGGGAGGCGCGCCGGGCGCGGAGCGAGCUGUGGUGUGAGGUUGUGGUUGUUUUCUUCGAAACCGGAUGAAAGCAAUGGAAGUUGGUCCGUGGCUGGAGCAUGCACCAACAUGACCAAAAGAUGUCCCAAGAGCACGGUUUCUAGCAUGUUUUGCCGGAAGUUUGGGAUCUCACAGAGAUAGCCCUGUGUGGUGAAAGCCUCUAAGUAUGAGAAGGUCAUGUAGGAAGAAGCCACCAAGUGCUGAUUGCACAGCUGAAGAAUUGUUAGGAGCAGCCUGAGAGCAAUGCCUGUCUAUUGAAACACUCCUCCUUAUUUAAAAGAUGGACUAUUAAGCCUCUGUGUAGUAAGACAAAGUGCAUUUAACUGCAUUGUGGCAGUGUCUGGUAAUGUUUAUAUAGACAAAAAUUAAAUAUUUAUGUUUCUGUUCUCAGAUUUCUGUCUUUUUCAAGCUUUAGUAACAAUUGCUUCUGUUUCAGAGUUCAGACUUCCUUGUGUUAUUGCUGAGAUACCAGUGCACCCCUUUGGAUGAAACAAAGCCUAGGAGUGAGCUGGGAUGAGAUGACUUAAAUCAUAGUCUCCUGUAGUAUGUGGAGAUAGGGUUGGCUGAGAUGUGUAUUUGUAGUGAGCCAAAGUAGAAAUUUAAAAAAGUAGAAGUUCAGCAAACCUGGCUUUAAAAAUAGCAUGAAAGGUGUUUAUUCAACAUGGAGAAUGGCAAGCUUGGUUUAUUAUCACCUUGACCAGCUAUGUCAUGUGGUACUUCAGCAUAACUUGGAGUGAAAGGCUCUUAAGAUUGGGAUUGCUGUUUAUUUUACUAGGAAAACUUAACAUGUUUUAUCAGAAGAACAAAUAUUUAAAUUGUGUAUCUUGCAAUGUGUGAUUUUUCAGUGCUGAAUGUAAGCAUAUUUCUAAUUCUAAGUGUAAGGUUGUUUUUAAUUUGUCAAGCAAGAAGGUUUAGACAAGAGUAAUUAAUUUUUAGAGAUCCAGCUUGUAAUUGUGGGAUGUACUUGAAAGUUUAGGGGUUUUAUUAGGGAUUACGUUCCCUGAAGAUACCAUCUGUUCAGAAGUUCUGCUCAUGGGCCUUUGUUCUUGAAGUGUAAGACCCAACAGAAGUAGCUUUUUUAAACUCAAAAAAAAAAAUCUCAAGAGCAACAGCUAGUGACAGGACUUGAUGAUUGGUAUCUAAAAGGAUAAUUACCUUUCAACCAAAAAUAUGUAUAACCCUCAGCUUUAAUGUGAAAUACAGGUGUUAUAGUGGGGUAGAGCAAGAGAAGUGAGGUAGAGGGAGCAGUAGGUGGCAUGCAAGCAUCACAGAUUACUUAAAUAAUAACGUUGUUAAAUGUGAAGUAUGAUGUUAAACAUUAGGACUGCCUUUUAUUUUGUAUGACUGGUUAACUGAAUUGCACCUUUAAAAAAACAGACUAGUGAGAAUCUGCUCAGCAAUAAAAUCUGAAGAGAAAGGAUAAGGAAUUUGUAUUCUGGAACAAGUUACUACAUGUACUGAAGCUCUACUUUGCAGGAGCUGGAUGCAGACCAUGUGCUCCUGGGAAGUAGAAAAGUAAAUCUUUUGGAGUUUGGGUUUUUUUUUGCUUUUGCUUCUGCUUUGUUAAACUCCUUUAUCUUGACCCACAAGGAUUUUUUCUGUAUAAUUCCCUUGCCCAUCCUGUUAAGGAGGGGAGUGAUAGAGCAGCUUGGUGGGCACCUGGUGUCCAGCCAAAGUCACCAUACCACAGCUCUUAUUCAGGAGAACAAAUACAGGAAAACAAGAGGCACAUUCAGGACACAGUGUCUGCCACACUGGCUCUGUAUCUGUGUGUUUGCUUUGACAGCUUACACAGUCUGUUGUUGCUCUCUGGUGAUUUUUAGGUGAGAAAGGAAACUGGUAUAGAUGUGCACUGGAAAUGCAAAGCUUACACUGACAACUUCCUGCUACAAGAUAAAAUACUUAAUCAUGGAGAAGCUGUAUCCUCAAGUGGAUUUUAAUUGGUACUACACCUGUUUUUACCAGAUGGUGGUGUCAAAUGAAUCUGUGUUUCUGAAGGCUUUGCUCCUUAGUGUAAUGUAAAUAAAGACACACAGGCAACCAUGCAAUGCCCUAAAAAAUUCAAGUUUUACUUGACUUUUAAAUAACCUGGAUACAAGUAUUGACACAGCCAUCUAUCAAAUUCAUUUUAAAAUAAAGCACACAGUUGCUUCAUGGAUACCUAAUGUACAUGGAACAAAUGUAUGACAUUGUUAUAUUCAAGUCUGUUGUCGUCAAACACCUUUCUAGGGAGUUCUGAAUUAAACAAAUCUUCCCAAAAGAAAACAUGCUAUCUCUUCCAGUCAAUAUCCACCUGUAUAAAGAGAAUGAAUUUGGCAACUUAAAUGGUAAUGACUUUGUAACAAACAUCAUCAAUAUCAUGAGCUUGGUUAGAAUACAAGUUGCAGAGUUAGUGAUACUGGUAAGGGGUGCAGUGUAGAAAAUAGCAGGUCCAGGCUAGUUCCAAAAGGAAAGAAACCAGCCAACUAAGCAAGGGAACCAGUACAAGAUAUACAACAGUGCUUUUGUGCUGUGGUUAGUAAGCCCUCUUUAUUGUAUAAAAUACAUGUUUUGCAAAAGGUUGUACAAAUAUGUUGUAAUUGUUGCUAAUAUAGUGAGAGUUCUGUAACUUACCAAUGCUUAGCACUUACAGAAGUCUCAUAAGAGGUAAAGGCAGAGGCCACAGUUUAAAAUCAUUGGCCUGAGAUCAAUUCAGGAGAACUAGGAUGAGAGUGUCUCAAUACCAGUCCUUUGUCCAAGUGAGCAGGGGUCUAUAUGGCAUUCAACCCCAGAGUAAGCUUCCUGACACUGUUCCCACACCUCAUGUCUUUUGUCUGAUUCAUCAGGAUGUAGAAUUUUAGACUGAAAUCCAGCCUCCAGAUCUGAAAAUGCAGCUGCCUGUAGGCAGUGAAUGCCUCAGGAGAGCUGGGGAAGGGUAGCAACAGUGGAGAGGGCAAGGUGUAGCUCAGAGGUGUAAGAGGCUGGUCACUUAGACACAUAGAGCUGGUUCAGGUGUGGAAGGCAUAGUUGUGACACGAUAAGUGUUUUCAGUGAUUGAUCACUUGUGUGUAUCUCUCACAAAAAUACCAUAAAGAAGGUGCUUUUCCUCAAAUGAUUGAGGAAAAAGAAACUUUGAAGGAAGGAGUUCACAUAUAAGAAAGAAAUUUGCUUUUCUGACAGUGAUAUCCUUGUUGCAAGUUUUGCCUUGUUUUGGCACAGCAAAACAUUUGGAAAACAUGUAAUAGAGGCGUUACAUCUUUAGUCUUUUGUGGACACAAAACUGGAUUUGUAGUGGCCCAGACUAAAAAACCUUGCUAAAAACCUGCUUCCUACAUAGUCUUACCAGGGAGAGACUCAAAUCUAGCGCUCUCUCCGUAAACUUCUCAUCUAAAUGCAAAAAAGUUGGCUUGAUUAUGAAAACAACUCUCCAAUGACUUGAGAAUUUUAACCUUUCACUACUAGACUAGACAGAAGCUAUUUUCUGAAGUAAUGCAGUAAGUAAAAUACAAUGCACUUUGCUGAUGGUAUCCCAGCAAUAACGCACAAAAGGCCUGCAGGAAGAUGAAAGCAUAAAGGAAAACGUGAGGUUGGAUAUAAACUUCUUGAUCAAUAUUUAAAGACUGGCAAGAUAGGUAAACUAUGGACAGAUAAUUCUCAAAUAAUAACACAAAUCCUCCUGCAGUAGUAGAUAUGUACUACUUACCUGUGCCUGAGUAAGGUUAGCAAACUAAUGGUAAUGAUUAGAAAAGCAGCAAACUAUAAGCAAGUGUAUAAUGCUCCAAGCUGGAAUACUGUCUCAAAGGAACAAGGAGUGACUGUCAUUCCUGACAGUAACCAGUUCUUGUAUAGUUUGUAAUUUUUCAGUUAUAUUCCAGAAGACUGUGAUGCUCUCCUUUAAGCCAUUUUGCCGUGGUGAUUUUUUUUUGUCCUAGGGGUUGUUUCAGGUUUUUUUUGUUGUGGUUUGGGUUUGGAAUUUUUUUUCAUUUUGGUUUUGGCUUUUUUGACUGUUGUUCUCGACAAUACUACACAAGGUCAUAAACAGAUCCUAAAGAAUCAUUUUAAAUUGGAACAAUGACAAUGAGGCAAUUUAACAAACUUUAAAGGCUGAGCAAAUACUUUAAGCCAAGCUCAACAAUGUCCUAGAAUUAAAUCCACAGGAAAUUUUAAAAGUUCUAAAGAACCUCCAUGAAAACUGAAUUUUUACUACAGAGGAGUUCUUGCUCUUAGAUUUGUUCACUGAGACUGUAGAAGCAGAGCCGUCACAAGUAAAUUAUCAAAGAAAAGUAUUUGUUAAGUGAUUCUGCCUUUCCUGCAGCAUUUCCCAACGUAAAGACCACUCCAUACUGUGAUAGGAAUAUUGAAACUGUAUGGCUGCCACCCUGGCUAGUAGUGUCCACCCUGACCACCACAGAUAAUAAAACAAUGAAGAAUCAAAAAUAAAGUGAAAAAUAAAACACAUUGUACAACAUUUUGCUUACCAGUGUAGUCAGUUAAAAUGUGUAUUAGUAAUCCCAUGCCUCUUGUAAGGUGUAACUUAAACACUUUAUGCUAACUUCAGCUCUCAAACAGUGUUGCUUUUCUGACAGGGCUGCAGUUCCCUGGUGUGGCUUGGACUGGAAGACACAGGAUCACUGCAAAUCUCUGUGGGUUGUGAGGAUUGAGUGUAGAGGGUACAGAUGUAGAAAGGCACGUGAGCUGCUACAGCUGUUUGCCACACUGUUUGACAAAUUCAGUACUUAGUUCAAUGAUUACACUUAGCUACAAAUUACUUCCACAACACAAACACUUUGCUAAGCUCCCUAGCAAGUCAGCAACACCUGAAGGUUCAUCCAUGUGCUGACUCUGGACAAAUGGGAGGCAGAGAAGUGAUUUUUAGAUAUUUGUAAGAAGUGGUAGGGACAAGAGGAAAGCUAGGCAUCACUUCAGAUACAUAUUAGAAGAUAACUCAGUCAAUAAUCAUUAAAACUUUAGUAUUAAUCAUUAUCAUUAAAACUUAGUGCAGCAUCAUUAAAACUUAGUAUUCCUACCACGACAAUAGAAAAAAAACUAUAGUUCUCAUACCUGAAAUACUGCCUUUGACAUUUUAACAUAGUAGAAAUGGCUCAGAGAAAAGUGUCAGAUUAUUUUAUAUGAGAUAUUAAGACAGAUUUGCUAAUCUAGAUUUAAAAAAAGAAAAAAAAAAAGCGCUAUUUCUAGCUGUUUUAAAUAUUACUCCACAAGUUUCAUUUAACCAGCACUGAAGUGCCUUUGUUAAGCAGUCUUAACACAGUGGGGUCAAUUAUAUAUUCCCCUGUCUCCAGUGUGCUUUACUACAAGUUGGUAAAUGUAUUUCAGUGGUAUAGAAUGUUAUUUAAAUAGUCCCUCUACACAAAAGGACAUUCCAAAAUUUAGAACACUUAAACCUGCCCAAAGCAAGUCAGUAUCGCCUCUGGGAACACACUGCUACAGCAUGUUAUAGUCUAUUGUUUUUUGAGCUAAAAUGGGUUGAGUCAGAAUUUGUAUCAACAACACAAGCAUCUAUUACUGGUGCUAGGUUUAAAUAACCCUUGUAAGAGCUAUCUGUCCUUAUGUCUCAGAACAUAAGUUGAUUCCCCAUAUAAAUUGUGAAGAUAAUUUCCCCAUAUCACACUGUAAUUGCACAAUUGACCAAAAUAUGACUAUUUUUACUUAUCUUGAAGCAUCUGAUGCUGAAUCAUGUCAGUUAACAGUUACUUCUUGGAACAAGGCCUUAUUCAGUUACAGAGCAGACCAUGAAGCCUGUUUUGUUGCAGCAAUUUUUUUGCUGUUGUUCAUUUUUGGAAAUAUAACUGCUGCGUCAGUUUUGCAAAAACUUUCUGGUUUUGGUUGUCUAUCAGGCAAAGCUUGUCCUCAAUCAGUCACACCACUAGAAUGGUGUUGGUGAUAAAACCAUUGCUGGUCUUCCCAGCAAGCGCAGGCUGUACUGCCAGGUGUCCUGAAGGAAAGACCACCACGUCGACUUCAGUUUCCUUCCCUUGCGUACAUAAACAAAUUCUUACUUUCCAAAGACCAAAAUCCAUCACCAUCUUCAAUUCAUCAGUCAAGUUUCCACCUUGAAGCGUGACACCUGUACAGUUUUUACAAAUCUUUAGUGUUGGGUUUUCCAUCAACAUUAUUAGUGGAUAGCAGAGGUGUUUCUUCUAUUAGGCCGUCCUUGGAUCCAUUCUGCUCUGAAGAGAAUAAAUUUAAAUAUGUUGUUGAAAAGAUACAGCAGAAUUGCAACACUAUUUUGCUAACUUUGCUAUGAAGCCUUAGGUUAUGGGGUAUGGCAAUUCAUAUAUGCAUAUAUCUACACUAAUUAGGAAUAUUAAAGUCCCUACAUUUAUUUGAUCAAACAGAACUUUUUUCCCUUCUUGCCUCCUCCCAGCUGCUGCCCCCUUCUGUGCUAUUGCCUAAUUCAGGAAAUGCCAUGAUUAAUUAUUUGAUAUUUAGCAAAAAACAGCAAGCAAACACUCACAAGAAGUUAAUGGCCACUGUCAUAAGGGAGCCUGGGACAGAGGGAAAGAGAGGUGUUGGUAGACACUCAACAUUUUAACAUUACUGUAUGGUAAGUUAGGUGCCUGGAAUUCUCCCUUCCGUGUUUUGGUUCUUCCCGUUUUGUGUUUGUACAAAGACCUGUGAGUGCUUUUGAAUAGAAUUUGUUUCUC
ensembl:lncRNA